rnacentral:misc_RNA from 1 species
GAUGAAGAACGUAGCGAAAUGCGAUACGUAAUGUGAAUUGCAGAAUUCAGUGAAUCAUCGAAUCUUUAAACGCACAUUGCGCCUGCCAGCACUCUGGCAGGCAUGCCUGUUCGAGCGUCAUUUCAACCAUCAAGCCCUAGGCUUGCGUUGGAGCCCUGCGGCUGCCGCAGGCCCCUAAAAGCAGUGGCGGGCUCGCUAUCACACCGAGUGCAGUAGAUUACUCUUCGCUCAGGGCGUGUGGCGGGUUCCAGCCGUGAAACCCCCUACUUCUCAAGGUUGACCUCGGAUCAGGUAGGAAUACCCGCUGAACUUAAGCAUAUCAAUAAGCGGAGGA